rnacentral:rRNA from 1 species
UACGUAGGGUGCAAGCGUUAAUCGGAAUUACUGGGCGUAAAGCGUGCGCAGGCGGCCAUGCAAGACAGAUGUGAAAUCCCCGGGCUCAACCUGGGAACUGCAUUUGUGACUGCAUGGCUGGAGUGCGGCAGAGGGGGAUGGAAUUCCGCGUGUAGCAGUGAAAUGCGUAGAUAUGCGGAGGAACACCGAUGGCGAAGGCAAUCCCCUGGGCCUGCACUGACGCUCAUGCACGAAAGCGUGGGGAGCAAACAGG